GCGCGGGUGGUGAAAUGGUAGACACGUACGUUUGAGGGGCGUAUGGGGCAACCCGUGAGAGUUCAAGUCUCUCCCCGCGCA
rnacentral:tRNA from 2 species